GAAACAUUUAUAGCCCAUCUGUGAGCUACGUCGAUUAUUUUGUCUUUGAAGCUUAUAAACAGGAGGGAUAUUGGUCCGUGCUAGUGAAUUUUCCAUUCAGCUUGAAAAGAAUGAGGGACAUAAUGGAUGAGAUAAAGAAAAAGUUAAAUAACGACCAGAUGGUGCUGAAGAAAAUAUUGCUCGGCUUGUCAGCAAAGACUCUCUAUUUUGAGCUUGUGGAUUCAAAGUUUAACAAAAUUGGAUCUGUGUUUAAUUACAAUCCAUUAAUCAAGCCACCUUACACCUCAUACUCUGACGUUUGUACGUCAUUACGGGAAAAAAAUGUUACUGUGGUCCGUAAUAAUGAAACUCAGAAUUAUUUUUAUUAUGGGCGUGUUUGGCAG